UUUUUUUCUUUUUUGCAGGAAAACAUUUAUAAAUAUAUAUGUAUAUAUUUACAUAUAUUUAAUCUUGCGAUUCCAAAUCUGGAAGAGAAAACAUCAUUCUUUCAUCAAAGGAGAAAUUCACCCACUGACCUGGAGGUAAUUUGAAUAAUGAACUAAGCUAUUUUGAUGUUUGUGUCAACAGCACAGAAGUGUCAGAUUCAGUUCUCCUUACAUCCAAAAGGAUAGAUUUGAGAUCAAAGUGCCUUCAGUAACGUCAGCGUGUCAGACUCAUGUUAUUGAGGGAAAUCUUCCUUGAGCUAUCAGAUCUGCUGUCAUAUGAAAGCCAAUUGAUAUCUUCAUUAUAUCCCCAUCCAUGUGGAAAGGGAGGUGAACGUCAAUGCAAUGAGUUCCUUCACUUGUUUUUUCUCUUGGGAUUUAAAUAUGUCAUUAUCUGUCAAUGAAAUGAAUUUGCCUAUCUGAAUACAUGAAGGAUAGCAAGUAGCAAGACUGAAAGUGGACAGUGAGGAAUUCUGUGCCGGUGUCUGCUCAGGAAAUCUGCAGUGUUGGAGGUUAGGGGUGGCAAAGAGGAUGAGGAAUCUGUUAGCACAAGAAUGAGGAGGAGGAGGAGGUUAGGAUAUCCUAAGGCAAUUGCACUGCUGACUCGCAUCAAUUACUGCAGCAAUUUUGCCUCUAAGUCCUUGAUUGACAGCAAGGGGAAGUAGUAAGUCUUCUUGCUUGAAGUCUCACAAAGAGAUGUGCAGAGUCCUGGUAGAUUAGCCACGGGUUGGUAGAUGGUUGCUCCCACACUGAUGAGUAGCAGCAUGAUGCUUAAUCAAAGUAAAGGUUUUCUUUAGAGGAAAACAAAGAGAAGCAGCUUGAAUGACUGACUACUGGAUUUGGGCAGGAGAUGGUCUUCCAAACUGGAAGGUCUUCAGAAUUGUCCAUCAUCUACGGGUCUUGGCUCUGAUGUUUUACUGCUGCCAGAUGCAAGGGUUUUGAGCACUGUUAUGGAAUUGGCAGACAUGAGCAGUAUUUGCCUGCCUCCCCAACUAAAAAUGCCAGCAUCCAGUGACUCAAAUCUCUGUAGCUGACUUGCUCUUUUCUUGGGUUACCCAUCAUGGUAAGGUAGAAUGUGAACUUCAGCACUUUGCUUGGGAAACUACAUCAGGGAGCACAUCUGAUUUACUCAGAAAACGUCUCAUUAUUUCUGACAUUUGAAAUCAGAAACCAAAUGUUAGCUGCGUAUAAGAGUUUUGAUAGUAUUAUAGUCUUCUGUGGCAACCAAUUAACAGCAGGCUCUGAGAUUGGCAAAUAUACAUCGAAGAGGACCAACUGGCUUUGACAGAAUCUGACUAUUGAUAUAGUCUUAACGAACACUAUGUUUUCUGAUCACCUUGGUCCAUAUUCUUGAGCCAUUACAGGCACAGAUGAUAAGAAUCUGAAUUUGGCAGUGGGUGUUUAGCAAGAAAGUGAAUGGCAAGAAUGGAAGAGCUGUGGAAGCAAGAGGCCAGCAUUAAUGUAGUAGGCGAGAAUAGCAGUGACAACUGACACAGAGCAAAAACACCUUUGAAAACCAUAAAACCAGAAAAGCAUUAUCAGAAAGACCUGUCAAAACUGAUUAAAAUCGGGGAACUAGCAGAAAUCACAAGAAUGAGCAGGACCACACACACAGUUUUUGAUGAUGGCUGAACAGAGUCCCCCACAUUGACCACCACCAGACAGCACUGGAGGACCACAAAGCCCAAGAACUGGGGGGUGUCCACAGUGAUAGGAUUUGGAAUUUUUCUCCAGUGGGAGAAACAGCUGCCAAAUUCAGCAAACUUUGUUGGUGGAGCUGAUGUGGCUGCUCUGUAAGAAAAUACAGUAAUGUUUCUUUAGGAACCCAGCAGACAACUGGAGAAAAGAUGCAGGGGAAAAAGAGAAACCUUCUGCAACAUAGGUCUGGCUUCAAUACACAAUGCGUUUUGCAUGUCUCAGGUGUGUACUAUCUCUAUUUGCACAUUUUAAAAUCCUGCAUAGUAGCAUAAACAGGAUGGCACAAGGAGGUUGUAGGAGUCGAGAGAACUGUGCUAUGAAAGGAAGAGACCCUCAUCAGUAUUUCUGCCAUCAAUACUUUGGGGAGGAAAGAAAAGAGAAAAUCCCAAACCCCAAGCCCCACACUAAAUAUGCACUUGUUCUCUUGGGCCGGCAGCCUCGAAGUUCAUAAACUCGGAAUUACCUUGUUUUGGAAUAAGCUGUUCUGAAAAUAAUUUCCAAUGGCUUCAUCGAGUUUGCUUUGCUGGUGGCAGCCCUUCGGCUCCAAGCUGGCACGUGUACGAAGCUCUUUGAACAAGUUUUGACCUUCCUUUUGCCCCUCUGCCCAUCAAGCCAGGUAAUGACAUGCUUUGUAUUGCACAGAACACAUACAAUUGACAAGUUCAUAGUGGUGUUUAAAUAUUAAACAAUCUAGACAGGCUUUUGAGUCUUAUGCCACCAGGAAAAGGCUCAGACCAUACCCAUCUUUGAAAUUGGGCUGCGGGAUCAUUUGCACAGUAAGACAGACAAUAAGACUUGUAUACAUUGCCAUGCAACAGAAGAGACCCCGAACCGCCAGCCCUAAGUGGAAAGUUUAUUUCUAAGCACAAUAUAUGGAAAAACCAAACCAACAAACCCCACAGAUAUAGAAAAGGUUGUAGCAAAUCCCUGGUCAAGUAGGACUUCAUGUCGGUCACUACCCUGCACCUCACAGCUGUUUAAAAUGUCAUGCAAUGGAGGAGAGGGCACUCAGAGGACACCCUCUGCUUCAGAUCGAGGCGGAUCUCCAAGCAGGAGAGGGCCCGUGGUUCUCCUGCUGAGCACUUCGGACUGUAACCAGCAAACAGGCAGCGCUGCUCACCCCCACCACGCACCUCGCGACUCCCUGUGGCACUUCAGCAGGCUUUGCCAACGUGGAUUCUCACAACACCCCUGUGAGGCUUUCUACUCUGAUGCUUGCUUUGUGGCAGCUGCAUCAGCAAAAGAGCUCAACCCCAGAGAGCUGGGAGAUACACUCCGAGGACUGAGGACAGUGAGCAGGAAAUUGGAAACAUGGAUCGCCUUCUGUUGCAGAUGAAAGGUGGAGAAGGACAGGGAUGGUAAAAGCAACAAGGUGAGUAGAGAAAACACUACAUGCCAAAUGGAAAAUAACAAUAUCAGUAGGGAAAGAAAUUUUAUUUCCAAGAUUGUAAGAGAAUAUUACAAACAAUGGAGAGUAAAAAAGCUCAAACUCUAAAAACUAUUUAAAAAGUACUUGACAGUGUCCCUUUAAUAUCCACAAAUGAUUCAGCCAUUGUGCAUUGAAAGAGAACAUUCCUGAAGAGCAACAAGUACCUUUGUGGAUGUAUCCCAGAGAAGGAGACUUAUUAGAAGUGUUAUACAUUUGAUCAGCAACUGUGCUCCCUCUUCAGACUAACUCUCUGUUGAACUAUUGAAUGGAAUAGACUCUGUAACAAACAAACUGGAUGUGAAAGGUUCAGCCUACAAGACUGAGACUGUUACAAAUUGAGCAGCAGGGAUAAAGACACUAAAAAAAAAAAAAAAAAAA